GCUCAGGACGAACGCUGGCGGCGUGCCUAAUACAUGCAAGUAGAACGCUGAAGAGAGGAGCUUGCUCUUCUUGGAUGAGUUGCGAACGGGUGAGUAACGCGUAGGUAACCUGCCUUGUAGUGGGGGAUAACUAUUGGAAACGAUAGCUAAUACCGCAUAACAAUGGAUGACACAUGUCAUUUAUUUGAAAGGGGCAAUUGCUCCACUACAAGAUGGACCUGCGUUGUAUUAGCUAGUAGGUGAGGUAACGGCUCACCUAGGCGACGAUACAUAGCCGACCUGAGAGGGUGAUCGGCCACACUGGGACUGAGACACGGCCCAGACUCCUACGGGAGGCAGCAGUAGGGAAUCUUCGGCAAUGGGGGCAACCCUGACCGAGCAACGCCGCGUGAGUGAAGAAGGUUUUCGGAUCGUAAAGCUCUGUUGUAAGUCAAGAACGAGUGUGAGAGUGGAAAGUUCACACUGUGACGGUAGCUUACCAGAAAGGGACGGCUAACUACGUGCCAGCAGCCGCGGUAAUACGUAGGUCCCGAGCGUUGUCCGGAUUUAUUGGGCGUAAAGCGAGCGCAGGCGGUUUGAUAAGUCUGAAGUUAAAGGCUGUGGCUCAACCAUAGUUCGCUUUGGAAACUGUCAAACUUGAGUGCAGAAGGGGAGAGUGGAAUUCCAUGUGUAGCGGUGAAAUGCGUAGAUAUAUGGAGGAACACCGGUGGCGAAAGCGGCUCUCUGGUCUGUAACUGACGCUGAGGCUCGAAAGCGUGGGGAGCGAACAGGAUUAGAUACCCUGGUAGUCCACGCCGUAAACGAUGAGUGCUAGGUGUUGGAUCCUUUCCGGGAUUCAGUGCCGCAGCUAACGCAUUAAGCACUCCGCCUGGGGAGUACGACCGCAAGGUUGAAACUCAAAGGAAUUGACGGGGGCCCGCACAAGCGGUGGAGCAUGUGGUUUAAUUCGAAGCAACGCGAAGAACCUUACCAGGUCUUGACAUCCCGAUGCUAUUUCUAGAGAUAGAAAGUUACUUCGGUACAUCGGUGACAGGUGGUGCAUGGUUGUCGUCAGCUCGUGUCGUGAGAUGUUGGGUUAAGUCCCGCAACGAGCGCAACCCCUAUUGUUAGUUGCCAUCAUUCAGUUGGGCACUCUAGCGAGACUGCCGGUAAUAAACCGGAGGAAGGUGGGGAUGACGUCAAAUCAUCAUGCCCCUUAUGACCUGGGCUACACACGUGCUACAAUGGUUGGUACAACGAGUUGCGAGUCGGUGACGGCAAGCUAAUCUCUUAAAGCCAAUCUCAGUUCGGAUUGUAGGCUGCAACUCGCCUACAUGAAGUCGGAAUCGCUAGUAAUCGCGGAUCAGCACGCCGCGGUGAAUACGUUCCCGGGCCUUGUACACACCGCCCGUCACACCACGAGAGUUUGUAACACCCGAAGUCGGUGAGGUAACCUUUUGGAGCCAGCCGCCUAAGGUGGGAUAG
rnacentral:rRNA from 1 species